rnacentral:tRNA from 1 species
AUCUGGCUGGCUCAGUUGGUAGAGCAUGUAACUCUUGAUCUCAGGGUUGUGAGUUCAAGUCCCAGGCUGGAUG